AGUAAUUCCAGUGAUAUUAAGGACACUCGAUGGCUGAUUAGAUGAGAGUGAGGAGUUAACAUACCUAGGUUUUUUGGACUGAACAACUUGGACAAACAGAAGGAAGACUAGAAUUAGGAACCGGGUGAUACCUCCAGCUUCGGAGAUGCCAGCUAUCUGGAAGAAACCGUCUAGAAUGCUCUCACUGUUAUUUCUUCAUGGUCUGGAGAAAACAAGCGACUUGCCCAGUGUUUCACAAUGGUUAUAUGGACUGAAUAUUUGUGUCCUCCCCAAGUUCAUAUGUGGUGCCCCAACCCUCAGUGUGGCUUUGGCAGAUAGAGCCUAUAUGGAGGCACGCACUAAGGAAAGGCCACGUGAGGACAUAACAAGAAGGGGGCCAUCUACGAGUCAGGAAGAGAGUCCUUGCCAGAAAUCCUGCUGGAAACAUGAUCUUGGCCUUUUCAGCCUCCAGACAUUGCCGUGAAGGUGACAAAAUACUUCCAGGCUUGUAGCGCAGAGCAGGAGAACGAGUCUCAGAGGAAGAAGGUGACUCCACCACGGUCUCCUCGGGGUGUGUAUUGGUGCUGGGAACAGAACACAGGACUUCUGACUGUCAAUCCACAAUUUCCUCUGUGAAACCAGGUUGCCUCAUGAAAUGGAAGGACAACAGGCCUACUGAGGCAUGGCCGGUUGUAAAUCCGGGAACUGUUGAUGUUCCGUCAGUUGUUACUGAGGCUCUCUGUAACCUGCACCAAGAAGAGGAGAAAGGAUUUGGGAAGCUGCUCAUAUCCUUUCUGGAUUAGAAAGCCUUGCCACUCAGACCCCUUUGCUUUCUUCGGGCCUCGCUGUCAGAGAUGCCUGAUGAUAUCUCCCAGAGCAAGACUUGAUUAGAUUAGCUACAGGAUAAGAAAUAGGAUAUUUGUAAAAGAACAUUAAAGAAAGGAACAGAAAGUGAAAGCAUUUUAGGACAAUAGGGAAAGACUUUCCUCUUCAGCUACAGUCUCACCUCUUACCUCCCCUGGCCCCUUUGCCCACUUUAACUUUAAAACCCCAGUGAGAAGAUGCAAGUGCUGCAUGCUGGACACAAUGUCCCCUGACACUCCCCCUGGGGCAGCAGGGUCUGCUGUCUGUCCCCUUGCUCAGCUUGGACAUCCACACUCUCUUCUAGUUGAUGGAGCCUGUGUGAAAAGCAAGGGGAUGUUUUUUUCUCUCCUUUGAGCUCUUCAGUCUUCAAGGAUUAGAUGUGAGGUUAGCAGGGACAAAGGUGAGGGCUGUGGAGGUGGUAAGGUAGAGAAGUGAAGUGAGAGUCAUCAUACAAGUUGAGGAAGACAAAGCAAAUAAACAGUCCUAAGUAGAACUAGAGAAAUUUCUGCACUUGAAUCUUUUUUUCUUUGUGUCUCCGUGCCCCCUCUGGAAGGAUUCCUUAGCACUAUCUUCCAGUUCACUCAUGCUCUCGUUGUGUUCAGUCUAUAGGUUAACUCAUUCACUGAGUUUUAUUUACAUACAUAUUUUUCAUUUUCAAGCUUUCUCAUUGGUUAUCUACAUAUUCUUGUUUUAUUUCUGUCUGUUCUUCUUUCAUACUUUUUAUUCCACUCAGCGGAACAUUCUAAACAUUUGUUUCAUAGUAUUAGGUUAUCCAUAAAAUUUACUGCCUCUGGAGUAAGUUAAUGUUCCAACUGUUGAUGUUUUUGGCCAUCUUUCCCAUAGUUAGAUUUUUUCGUUUUGAUUUAAGAGCUAAUUUUGAGUAGGAUGAACAAAAUUGUUUUUCUCUUUCUCUUUCCCUCGGUGCUCCCCACUCACUUUCUAGCCACUCUAUGUUGCCUCUGCUCAGUCCCCGGCCUCAGUCCAGACUUAGGUCUUUCAGUGCCAUGUUGGUGGCAUUGAGGAGAUCACAGACUCAGUGGGAGGCUUGGUUCAUUCCUGGUCACCAGGCAGCUUGCAUAGAGGCAGAGCCUCCCCUGUGUCUGACUCGCCUCUUUUGGUGGGAAACCCGGAUGCAGCCCCUGGUUUCAAGCGUGAGACGGACUCAGGUUUCAUCACCUGAGUGGAGCACUUCAGGGCAUAACUAGCCUCAGGUUCUGAACCCACACCAGCCUCUGCAGCCUGGUCUAGCUCCUGCAUUAUGUAAAGGGCUAACCUACCUUUUUUAACGUAAAAUGGGGAUAAUAAUAUCUGCUUUUUAGAGUAAUGAAACUGAUUAGAAUGAUUCUGAAAGGAU
ensembl:lncRNA